GCCCCCGUAGUUCAACGGAUAGAGCACAGGUUUCCUAAAUCUGGAAUGUAGGUUCGACUCCUACCGGGGGCA
rnacentral:tRNA from 1 species